CCGCCCCUCCCGGCCUCUCCCUGCUCGGAGCCACGCGCGCCCCCUGGGGCCCCUCCCGGAGGCUGCAACCUGGGACCCCUCGCUGCCGGCAUCAGAGACAGCCUUCAUCGGACCCUCCUCCUCCUCCUCUCUUCGAGGGAAACUGCGUGCGAGCGGAGGGAGGAAGGGCAGAGCGAACCCCCCGCGAAUCCCAUCUGAAUAAACGUCUGUAUUAAUGAAUUAUUAACUCGGCCGCUCGUGACCUUAAAGCUGCAAUGAGGAGACGCCUAGGGCAAGAAGGAAAGCUGCUGCAUCCUUUAUCGGACUCCUGUCAGAGGGAACCGACCAUUCGUCUUCUCCGGAUCGGGAGAAUUAAUUAAUAUGAAAGGCAAACUUUUUAAUUCUGUGUCAAACGAAAUCAGAUAGGGUGUCCCCGACUACGUCUCUUCGCAAAAGGUUUCAUCUCCCUUUACUGCCACCACCCCAACGUAAAACCUACGGGAUCCCAAAGAGAUGGACAUCCUUCCUAGGGGUUAUUAAAAAAGAAGAGGGGGGAAAAAAAAUCCCCGGGAAAAUGAUGAAUUUGGGCAGUUAAUUUAUCGAUCUUGGCUGCUCUUCCCGCUUGUUUUAUUUUAGAGGUCAUUAAUCAAUGAAGAAAAACACCACCGUGUUCCCCCUCUGCAUUUAAUACACUUACCCUCCUUAUUUAUUUCUUUUGAACAAAUUCCUUGCAAAUAUUCACCGAUCGAUCGGCAGGCGAUGGAUUUUUAUAAAGCGCUCAUCGAGCGGCUCCAGCUCCGCGAGAAAAAGCCGAAGGAUGCGGCUGGGAUCCUCCUCGCUUCCUUCCCUUCUUCCCCUGCUGGACGGGGGAUGCAGAGGAGCAGCGUCCAGGCUGAGGGCUCUGCGUUUCGUGUCACCAACUCAGUCACGCAACGAGCUGCCCGAGGAAACACCGCGCAGCGAAGGAGUGAAGUCCUCCCAAGUACGAGCCCGAGCGGAAUAUUUCUGUUAACAGCCGAAGGCAAAUGCAGAUAUUGACAAUGUACUUAAGCCCAUUAGCUGGGAGCUUUUCCCCACUUCAUCACGUUCACGUACCGUGAAACGAAUUUGUAGGGGCUGCUGCCACUAAAAACAACUCACUGUUUUGUUUUUUUUUAAAAAAAAAAAAGAUGCUUGGUAAUGAAAAGGGCGAUAAUGAGGAGAUGCACAUCAAAAAUAAACUAGUAAUAUGGAAAUAAAAAUGGAGUGUG
rnacentral:lncRNA from 1 species